rnacentral:sRNA from 2 species
CCAAGUGACUAACUGGUCUGCAUGUUCAAGGCCAUUCAGCCGCCUUAUUCAUGGGUCAACGAAGUUGGUUAACUACGCAGUAGGUAACUAGUUAAUCGAACGAGUUUGUCAUCGCUCUGCUUCUUCACACAGAUGCUGUUCCGAAGGCCUGUUCAAAAUGAAAAAUCCUAGGGCGUGCGAUUCAACAUUUGCCAAGGUUUCCCAAACGGAAUGAGCGCCAUUGUUUUCCAUCCAUCUGUAUUCAAGUCCAAGAGGUCUAGGGCGGGGGAAUUCUCUCCAAUGACAGGAUUCUAACGGCGCCACCGGAAUGAACAGGCCUCCAAGCUCGGCCAAGCACCCAUGAUAUGAUAUUUUUUUCACUAUUGAAGGUGUGCUCAAUUGAAGGUUCCCUAACCGGGUGUCAGGAUAUCUUUUUGCGGGCGGUGUUACACUGGGAGUGUAAGUCAGUAAAAUAACCCUCCUGAGCACUUCUUGUAGAACUCAUAAAAAAUGAAUGAAUGCU